GACGAACGCUGGCGGCGUGCUUAACACAUGCAAGUCGAACGAUGAACCCGGAGCUUGCUCCGGUGGAUUAGUGGCGAACGGGUGAGUAACACGUGAGUAACCUGCCCUUGACUCUGGGAUAACUGCGGGAAACUGUAGCUAAUACCGGAUACGACCCUCGGCGGCAUCGCCAGGGGGUGGAAAGAAUUUCGGUCAAGGAUGGACUCGCGGCCUAUCAGCUAGUUGGUGGGGUAACGGCUCACCAAGGCGACGACGGGUAGCCGGCCGGAGAGGGUGACCGGCCACACUGGGACUGAGACACGGCCCAGACUCCUACGGGAGGCAGCAGGGGGGAAUAUGGCACAAUGGGCGCAAGCCUUAUGCAGCAACGCCGCGUGAGGGAUGACGGCCUUCGGGUUGUAAACCUCUUUUAGUAGGGAAGAAGCGAAAGUGACGGUACCUGCAGAAAAAGCACCGGCUAACUACGUGCCAGCCGCCGCCGUAA
rnacentral:rRNA from 1 species